rnacentral:rRNA from 1 species
UACGUAGGGUCCGAGCGUUAAUCGGAAUUACUGGGCGUAAAGCGUGCGCAGGCGGUUUUGUAAGCCAGAUGUGAAAGCCCCGGGCUCAACCUGGGAACUGCAUUUGGGACUGCAAGGCUGGAGUACGGCAGAGGGAGGUGGAAUUCCACGUGUAGCAGUGAAAUGCGUAGAUAUCUGGAGGAACACCGGUGGCGAAGGCGGCAUCCUGGACCGGUACCGACGUUCAGGCACGAAAGCGUGGGGAGCAAACAGG